rnacentral:lncRNA from 10 species
GUUUUCUUCUGUGAACCUUUCGCGGCUCGACGUGCGCAGAGUGCGCUCUGCAGCAGGCGGGGACCUGGGUCCCGCGGGGGGCAGAGUACGGCCUUUUCUUCUCGGUUCCGUCUCCUCUCACACAUCAGAGAACUCCUUUUUACAGACGUUUCACACUUUGUCAAAGUUGAGUGGGUUUGGCAUCGCCCUUCUGGAGACUUUGGGCACAUCAAAGGGCUUUUCAAAAGUAGCAACGAAGUUCUCCCUGGGCUGUUCAAGGAUUGAGCCUUCACUCUGUGAUGGGCUUAUCUAAAAUUAAUAAUUUACCGCUAAUAAGUGAGCACAAAUAUCAACGAAAGAAAGACGUCAUGAACCUUACACUCUGUAUGGUAUAUUUUGUGUGUGUGUACAUAUUUUACAUAUACAUGUAUGUGUGUAUAAUAUAUAAAUUAUUGCCUUUUCCUGGUACAAGCUUGUUUAUGAAAUUGUAUAUGCAUGAUAUACAGUAUACAGAUACAGGAUGCACACAUGUGUAUAUUGUAUUAUAUAUGUACAUGUUGAUUGUACAGUAUAUGUUUAUAAACUGUGUAUGUGUACAUGAUAGGACUUUGCUCUUCCCUGCUCCAAGCAAGAGCCGGCUAAGAGAAGCAGUUAUUUCUACAAGGAGAGUAAACGCAUUGCAGAAGGGAGAGAGCAUUCCGUGUACACACACAGAUUUUUACCACUUGGUCUGUCAGAAAAAUUUUAAAAGCGGCCCCCAAAUAUCUACCCAAAAGAAGUUUCACUUGCUAGAAGCUCCGUCUAGUUUGCCUCCAUGGAAUCAGGAAAAGCACUGUGGGCUGGUGGUGUCAUGAGAUUGGCUCACAAACCACAAGGCAGAAUCCAGGCUUUCAAGGAAUUUGGUAUUUUCUUGAUGAGAACAUGCAGAAUUCUUAGAGAGCAGGAGUAACCACAGGAAGGAGGUUGCAGAAGCUGAGCCUGUGGAUGAACUGCCUGUCCCAUGGGAAGCUCCUGUCUUCAGUCUCCCUGGAAUACCACACCCUGCUCUUCGACUUCUUCCUCCCGCCCCUCCCUCCUCUGCCUUACAGAUCCGGUGUGUUUUUAGUAAGAAUUCUUUGUUUGGGACUAUAUACUUUAAACCGCUGCUUUAGCUCAUGGUCCUUCAUAGGCCAGGAAAAUUCAGUAUUUCAUUCAUUUACUCAUCCCUUGAUUGAUUCCACAA